rnacentral:rRNA from 1 species
UUUCUGUAGGUGAACCUGCUGAAGGAUUAUUA